rnacentral:sRNA from 1 species
CUGAUUUCGUCGGGGUCAUCCUCCUCCCAGACCCCGACGGAUAAGGCCAGCGUUCACCUCCUCCCGAUCGCUGGCCGCCAAAACGGCACCCGCCGGACCUCCUCCCCCGGCGGGUGUUGUUU